UGCAGAGAAGUAUUUUAAAAGUUAGAAGAAAAUUGUUAAAGACAGAGUCCAUCUAGCCUUCAGCAGGAUUCUAAAACCAGUUUAGAUAGUCUCAUGCAUGGUGAGAACUCUUCCAACAGAGUGGGCAGUUGAAAGUGAGCAGGUAUCCUAUACUGCCUUGGCUCACUGAUACAUCAUUGUGGACCAGAAAAUUGAACCCAGUCCAGCUUGGGAUUAUUUUG